AAUGAAUUUGAUUAUAAAUAUUUAAACGUUGAGCACAACAGAUUUAUAGUAUACUCGUGUGCGGUUGGUGGUGCGAGACAUAUGAAUUUUGAAUACUAAUAAUGAAUUUGACCGUAUCUCAACCACAUACAAUGGAUUGUACAAAAGUGAGAAAACACAAAAAAUCGAAAGAUAACAGAGAUCGAAACUUCGUUGGAAGAAGUAUGUAUGGCAGCGAUGGAUUUUCGGAACGUCGGGACCUA